rnacentral:rRNA from 1 species
CGGCUCAGUAACACGUGGAUAACCUACCCUUGAGACGGGGAUAAACCCGGGAAACUGGGUAUAAUACCCGAUAGAUCUCGACUGCUGGAAUGCAUCGAGCUUGAAAGCUCCGGCGCUCAAGGAUGGGUCUGCGGCCUAUCAGGUAGUAGUGGGUGUAGCGUACCUACUAGCCUACGACGGGUACGGGUUGCGAGAGCAAGAGCCCGGAGAUGGAUUCUGAGACACGAAUCCAGGCCCUACGGGGUGCAGCAGGCGCGAAAACUUUACAAUGCUGGAAACAGCGAUAAGGGGACCUCGAGUGCCAGGUUACAAAUCUGGCUGUCGUGAUGCCUAAAAAGCAUUGCAUAGCAAGGGCCGGGCAAGACCGGUGCCAAACACCGGCGGCUCGAGUGGUAACCGUUAUUAUUGGGUCUAAAGGGUCUGUAGCCGGCCGGAUAAGUCUCUUGGGAAAUCUGGCAGCUUAACUGUCAGGCUUUCAGGAGAUACUGUCUGGCUCGAGGCCGGGAGAGGUGAGAGGUACUUCAGGGGUAGGGGUGAAAUCUUGUAAUCCUUGAAGGACCACCAGUGGCGAAGGCGUCUCACCAGAACGGACCUGACGGC